CCUACGGGAGGCAGCAGUGGGGAAUUUUGGACAAUGGGCGCAAGCCUGAUCCAGCCAUGCCGCGUGCGGGAAGAAGGCCUUCGGGUUGUAAACCGCUUUUGUCAGGGAAGAAAAUGUUCUGGAUAAUACCUGGGACUCAUGACGGUACCUGAAGAAUAAGCACCGGCUAACUACGUGCCAGCAGCCGCGGUAAUACGUAGGGUGCAAGCGUUAAUCGGAAUUACUGGGCGUAAAGCGUGCGCAGGCGGUUAUGCAAGACAGAGGUGAAAUCCCCGGGCUCAACCUGGGAACUGCCUUUGUGACUGCAUAGCUAGAGUACGGUAGAGGGGGAUGGAAUUCCGCGUGUAGCAGUGAAAUGCGUAGAUAUGCGGAGGAACACCGAUGGCGAAGGCAAUCCCCUGGACCUGUACUGACGCUCAUGCACGAAAGCGUGGGGAGCAAACAGGAUUAGAUACCCUGGUAGUCCACGCCCUAAACGAUGUCAACUGGUUGUUGGGAGGGUUUCUUCUCNGUAACGUAGCUAACGCGUGAAGUUGACCGCCUGGGGAUACGGCCGCAAGGUUGAAACUCAAAGGAAUUGACCGGNGNGAGAGNGCGAGACGACGACGAGGGAGGAGG
rnacentral:rRNA from 1 species